rnacentral:misc_RNA from 1 species
UGUGGGAGCUGGCUUGCCUGCGAUGCAUGCACCUCGGUGUGUCAGUUACACCGCAGUGAUGUCAUCGCAGGCAAGUCAGCUCCCACA